rnacentral:rRNA from 1 species
AUUGAACGCUGGCGGCAGGCCUAACACAUGCAAGUCGAGCGGAUGAAGGGAGCUUGCUCCUGGAUUCAGCGGCGGACGGGUGAGUAAUGCCUAGGAAUCUGCCUGGUAGUGGGGGAUAACGUCCGGAAACGGGCGCUAAUACCGCAUACGUCCUGAGGGAGAAAGUGGGGGAUCUUCGGACCUCACGCUAUCAGAUGAGCCUAGGUCGGAUUAGCUAGUUGGUGGGGUAAAGGCCUACCAAGGCGACGAUCCGUAACUGGUCUGAGAGGAUGAUCAGUCACACUGGAACUGAGACACGGUCCAGACUCCGACGGGAGGCAGCAGUGGGGAAUAUUGGACAAUGGGCGAAAGCCUGAUCCAGCCAUGCCGCGUGUGUGAAGAAGGUCUUCGGAUUGGAAAGCACUUUAAGUUGGGAGGAAGGGCAGUAAGUUAAUACCUUGCUGUUUUGACGUGACCAACAGAAUAAGCACCGGCUAACUUCG